rnacentral:lncRNA from 1 species
CCAAGGGCAAACAGGUGCCCCCUCCUCCACGCCCCCUCCUGUAACUGCAAAGCUUGUGACCACCUUAACGUCGGUACAAGCACCACCGGCGCUUUGCGAUAUUACUGUCAAAUAGUCCAGCACUUUCAAGACUAUAAAGCAUUUCCCUUUCUCGUUCUCUUUCUUUUUUUGUCUUCUUAGGGCCACACCUGCAGCAUAUGGAGGCUCCCAGGCUAGGGGUCUAAUCGGAGCUGUAGCUACUGGCCUACACCAUAGCCACACCAACGCAGGAUCCAAGCCACGUGUGUGACCUACACCACAGCUCAUGGCAAGGCCAGAUCCUUAAACCAUUGAGCCAGGCCAGGGGUCGAACCCACAACCUCAUGGUUCCUAGUUGGAUUGGUUUCCGCUGUGCCUCACUGGGAAUGCCUUUUUUCUUCUUCUUCUUUCUUUUCCUUCCUUCCUUUCUCCUUCCUUCUCUCUUUCCUUCCUUCCUUCCUUCUCUUUCUUUCUUUCUCUCUCUUUCUUUCUUUCUUUCUCUCUUUCUUUCUUUCUCUCUCUCUUUCUUUCUUUCCUUCUUUCUUUCUCUCUUUUUCUCUUUCCCUCUCUCUCUCUCCAUCUAUUUAUAUCUCCAUGUCUCAGGCAGGUGCCCAGGGAGAGACGUCUCAGCAGAAACCAAUCCUGACGACGCCUUGAUCUCAUAGUUCCCACCUGCAAAACGGACUGACCACAGGUGCCUGCUGGUGAAGCCGCUCCCCCCGGGGGUCUUCAACACGGCCGCCCGAGCCGGCCCGCACACGGCUCUGAGACCCUCUGAGGCCCACCCUCUCCGCUCCGUUGCCCCCGUCCUGGUCCAGACCUCCACCGACUCCACCCCCGCGCGUCCACAGGGAAGUGCAUCUGAGGCCACCUGGGAGGCUGGGAGGACCAGGACGGCACAGUGGCCACCACCACAAGCCGUCACAGAGUUGCUGGAAGACCGGUGGCAAGGAGGCCCCAGAGAAGCAGAAAGCCGAGAGCUGUGGUGAUGAGGACAGCAGAUGGAACGACUGUGGUUUGCCUGGAGCCUGUGUGGCCAGAAAAUUGAGCGCUGGAGGCUGGGAACCAGAUGGGUGGUAAUGAACAGAAUGAGGCCAUUUGUGGGGAGCACUCUGGGGCGACGCCUCACUUGGGCUUUCAAUUUGCUUCUGGAGACAGUAAAAAAGAAAGUGUCAAAAACAACAAAAGCAUCCCCAGCUGGCAUUCUGAAUGUCUUUGGCAUGCCCUGAGCAUAUUGUUUUUACCGGCAUCGUCAAUGUGACAAAGCCAAAUAGUGAUGGUUUCAGAAGCAAAAACAAUAUAAAAUCUACAGAAGGGAUUGAAGGAAUAGAAUAAAUCCCUUAACGUACUGGAGCCAGGAGUUCCCGUUGGGCUCAGCAGGUUAAGAGCCCAACUAGGAUCCAUGAGGAUGGGGGAUUGAUCCCUGGUUUCGUUGCCAUGAGCUGUGGCGUAGGUCGCAGACACAGCUCGGAUCGGGUGUUGCUGUGGCUGUGGUGGAGGCUGGCCGCUGCAGCUCUGAUUGGACCCCUAGCCUGGGAACUUCCAUAUGUCUUGGGUGCGGCCUUAAAAAGCCCCCAAAAUAAAAGUAAAAACGGUGGUGGGGGGUGUCCAGGAACUGCAAAAACAUGGCUCAGGGGAAGGACCACAGCAGCAUCUCCCCUACGUGGGGCCCACAGGAUUCAAGCGCAAAGAUGAAGGGGAAUUUCCACGUCACACUGGAGGCACAUUAGUUUGAACUUAGCCAAGGCAAGUGUUGGAACAGAUGUCCUGGUUCAAGUUCACUCGUUAUGCAACAGGAAGUGGAAAGAGGCCCAAGGAUUUUUGAAGAGAGAAGGAACAUCCCAUGGCUUUCUUGAUUCUCAACUCUUGCGAAUCAAUGGCACUCCUCCUAGGAAAAGCUCGGCAAUCCUGUCAUCACAGCUCUUGAGUGAAAGGGCUAAAAAUGAGGGCAUUUUUUACGGUCCAGGCCCUCUGUUCAUUGAGCAAACGUAUGGACCCCUUGAAGCCAAG